rnacentral:tRNA from 1 species
AGCCUACUAGCUCAAUUGGUAGGUAGAGAAUUGUGAAAAUGCAAAAAUGUGGGUUCGAACCCCACGUAGGUUC